rnacentral:tRNA from 1 species
GCCUGGGUGGCUCAGUCAGUUAAGCAUCUGACUUCGGCUUAGGUCAUGAUCUCACAGUUUGUGAGUUCAAGCCUCGCAUCAGGCU